rnacentral:rRNA from 1 species
UACGUAGGGGGCGAGCGUUAUCCGGAUUUACUGGGCGUAAAGCGAGUUAAGGCGGUUGGCAAAGUUGGUUGUGAAAUCUCAGGGCUCAACCCUGAAAUUGCGACCAAUACUGGUCGACUAGAGUGCAGGAGAGGAGGGUGGAAUUCCCGGUGUAGCGGUGAAAUGCGUAGAGAUCGGGAGGAACACCAGAGGCGAAGGCGGCGACCUGGACAGUUACUGACACUCAACUGCGAAAGCGUGGGGAGCAAACAGG